AGCUUCCCUUGGGGUCUCUGCAGGAGCCACGGAGCCAGCUUGGACGAGGACUACACUUGUCCCUCUCGGAUGCAGGGGACAGGCUGCAAAGGAGUCCAGUGGCACCUGAAGGAAUCAUGACUAUCAGCCAUGCCAAAGACGGAACUGGUUGUUUUCCAUGGUCCCAAAGAGAGCAGCUAUCUUGCUGCAGCGGACGUUGUCAGCUAAGUCACCGGUGUGGACCUCGGCGUUUCCAGUGGUGCUCAUGGCGAGGUGGUGGUGACAAAAUCGGGCUUCAGCGUGAAUGAUAAAGACAUAACUGCUAUCGAUCGGCGAGUAACGAGGUAUUAGAUGGAGAAAAAAGGAGAGAAAAAGAGAGGGGCACAGAAACCUUGGACGAUCAAAGUGGUGUCUGAAAGGGACGGGGUUGUGUUUUAAGGCGACCGAAACCGUUAUCGGUCAUCAGCAGAGAAAAUAAAUUGGCACCCUCAUUUUUUAAUAUGUCUCCU
rnacentral:lncRNA from 1 species